rnacentral:rRNA from 1 species
CAAUAGCGUAUAUUAAAGUUGUUGCAGUUAAAAAGCUCGUAGUUGGAUUUCUGGUGGGAGCGAUCGGUCUGGCGCUUAGCGCGAGUACUUGCAUCGUCUCCGGCCAUCCUUGGGGAGAGUCUGUCUGGCAUUAGGUUGUCGGGCAGAGGAUCCUCAUCGUUUACUGUGAAAAAAUUAGAGUGUUCAAAGCAGGCUUAUGCCGUUGAAUAUGUUAGCAUGGAAUAAUAAGAUAGGACUUUGGUACUAUUUUGUUGGUUUGCGCACCAAAGUAAUGAUUAAUAGGGACAGUUGGGGGUAUUCGUAUUCCGUUGUCAGAGGUGAAAUUCUUGGAUUUACGGAAGACGAUCUACUGCGAAAGCAUUUACCAAGGAUGUUUUCAUUAA